rnacentral:rRNA from 1 species
UGGGGAAUAUUGGACAAUGGGCGAAAGCCUGAUCCAGCCAUGCCGCGUGUGUGAAGAAGGUCUUCGGAUUGUAAAGCACUUUAAGUUGGGAGGAAGGGCAUUAUCCUAAUACGUUAGUGUUUUGACGUUACCGACAGAAUAAGCACCGGCUAACUCUGUGCCAGCAGCCGCGGUAAUACAGAGGGUGCAAGCGUUAAUCGGAAUUACUGGGCGUAAAGCGCGCGUAGGUGGUUUGUUAAGUUGGAUGUGAAAUCCCCGGGCUCAACCUGGGAACUGCAUUCAAAACUGACUGACUAGAGUAUGGUAGAGGGUGGUGGAAUUUCCUGUGUAGCGGUGAAAUGCGUAGAUAUAGGAAGGAACACCAGUGGCGAAGGCGACCACCUGGACUAAUACUGACACUGAGGUGCGAAAGCGUGGGGAGCAAACA